UCAUUUUUGUGAACAACUGAAAUUGAUGAUAAUGAUUGUUAGUGAUCUUCAUGUGAGUUAUUGAAAACCUAUCACAGAGAGGGAGAUUAUUAAAUAAAACCCAAAAAUAUUUUUUUUUAACUAUCACACUACAAAUAAUUAGAUUUACAUAGUAUUAAAUUAAACAGAAGACAGAUAAAAAGCUGCAAAAGCCUCAUCAAGAGUCUGAACCCAAAAUUAAUGUUCUUCCAAUAGCUUGCUUCCCUUUCCCUGUUUUUUUAAAUAUUCAAUUAAAUUGCCAAAGCAUAAUACAAAAUUAGGUUGUUGAGAUCUAACCAAUAAAGGAAACUUUAAUUUUAAAAUUAGGAGGAGAAAAGCCGAAAAUUCUUACCGCCAAAAUCUUUUCCUUCUAAAUCUCUCAUACUCUUCAUACGUAGCUUUUUUCGGAACCACAAUUUGUAGAGAGGGAAUAUAUUGGGGUGAUGGAAAUCAAAUUUGACUAAAAUAAGACUAAGUUUGUUAAAACUUAAAAGAUGGAGCCAAUUUUAGAAUCCCCAAUAUGUUAGGACUUUGAGAUUUCGGC
rnacentral:lncRNA from 1 species